UAGAGUUUUCAUUGGUCAAAGCCUUGUCUUAACGAAACAAAAUACGCCAACCUUUGUGAAAUGGAGGGAGUAAAACAUUUGUUCUCUUUCUUGUACAUGUUCGAUGGUGUUUUGACCUCAACACCAGGUGGUAAGAACACCAAGUUACAUGUGCCCAAAACGUCUUGCUGAUAUGCCAUAUGGUAGCAAAUCUGACAUUUAGUCUCUAGUAUGUUGUAUAUGCGAAAUGGCUGCUUUCAGGCCUGCAUUUAAAGCUUUGUAAGUCUCUACUUUUCUUGAUCUAUUUGGAGUUGGAAAGUCAUCAUGUAUCUUCUUUGCUAGGUUGUUAAUCACUGUCCAGUUUGUUCAUGACAGGUCACGGAGCUAAGCAAAGCUAAGAUACUUUAAUUCUCAACUGAUAUAAAUACAACAUAUUUUCAACUGAUAUAAAUACAAUACAAGUCAUACUGACUACCUGCAUUUCGUGAAUAUAAAUCAACAAUAUAAGAUUCCUCUGAUUCUCUUGGACUUAAAAGGAUCCCAUGUAACGCUUAAAUUACAGAACUCUUUCUGAACAAGAAGUGAUAAAUCUUAUGGAUCUGUGGACUAAACAACAUGUUCUUCAAAUUUAUUUUUUGCGAGCAUUUGCAGAUGCAGUGAUGCCAUGAUGGCGAAUAGGUUUAACAUGUGAUGCACCUCAUUAUGUCACACUUUCAUUCUCUCAAGCAAUGCUUGGCAGGUGUGCAUUUUCUUUACUCUUCCCUCAUUUCUCAGAUUAUGCAUUUUUAUCCUAUAGUGAUCCGUUAAUUGGUUUUGGCUUCAGAUCUUUUACCAGAUUUU